CCCUUAUUUACCCUAUUACCCCUUAUUAUUCCUUAUUAACACACCCUAUUGCCCUUAUUAUUCCUUAUUAACCCUUAUAACCCCUAUAACCAAUCAGCACCUGCCACGUCACACAAGCUCCGCCCCUUUCUCAACUCUACAAAACAGCGCGCCAAUUUCAAAUCAGUUCAGUUCGGUCAACCAAGCCUUCGGGGUAACACCACGCUACGUGCACACACAUCUAUGACGUCACCGUUGUCAUCACAAUGAUUUAGUGCGUGAACCAGCGUAGAAUUACAGAAACAGCAUA